rnacentral:tRNA from 1 species
GCCUCCUUAGCUCAGCGGUGGAGCACUCGGCUGUUAACCGAUAGGUCGUAAGUUCGAAUCUUACAGGGGGCGCCA